GCCGAGUGCUAGGCACCCGGGCUCUUCUGGGGGCUCCAGAACUAAGCCACCCAGACACCAUCAUCCCGAAAACCCCAGCCCUUCUCCCAUGGCAGGUAAGUGCGCGCAAGUCUGGGGGUCUCCGUUAUCCCCCCCACGGACUUGGGAGCCGGGUUUGAACACAUCCUCCCGGAAUGUGCUCGGACUGGCUGGGUGGGGCCCCUCCCUUCCUUCCGGGGAACCUCCACCCUGCUCCCCUGCCCCAUCUUUCUCUGCCUCUUGCCACCACGUUUCCCCCGAAGCCUCGCGGCCCAUGGGCUGAGGAAUAAGGGGAUGAGGCCUUGAGUCCCUUUCUAAUCUAUCCUGCUCCCACCGCUUUACAGGCUACUUGCCCCCCAAAGGCUACGCCCCUUCGCCCCCACCUCCCUACCCUGUCACCCCUGGGUACCCGGAGUCGGCGCUACAUCCUGGGCCCGGGCAGGCGCCAGUGCCCGCCCAGGUACCUGCCCCAGCUCCCGGCUUCGCCCUCUUCCCCUCGCCUGGCCCCGUGGCCUCGGGGUCUGCUGCCCCCUUCUUGCCACUGCCAGGGGUGCCUUCUGGCCUCGAAUUCCUGGUGCAGAUUGAUCAGAUUUUGAUUCACCAGAAGGCUGAGCGAGUGGAAAAUGGAAGUACAGGCUCCACCAGGCACCACCAUUGGCCACGUGCUACAGACCUGGCAUCCCUUCCUCCCCAAGUUCUCCAUCCAGGAUGCCGAUCGCCAGACAGUCUUGCGAGUGGUGGGGCCCUGCUGGACCUGUGGCUGUGGCACAGACACCAACUUUGAGGUGAAGACUCGGGAUGAAUCCCGCAGUGUGGGCCGCAUCAGCAAGCAGUGGGGGGGCCUGGUCCGAGAAGCCCUCACGGAUGCAGAUGACUUUGGCCUACAGUUCCCGCUGGACCUGGAUGUGAGGGUGAAGGCUGUGCUGCUGGGAGCCACGUUCCUCAUUGACUACAUGUUCUUUGAGAAGCGAGGAGGCGCUGGGCCCUCUGCCAUCACCAGUUAGAGGCCACCAUGGUGUGAGGAGACCAUCACCUCGACCAGAACUCCAGAUGGUCACCUGCCCUGGCCCCUCCUCUGGGCAGCCCCUUUCCUCCAUGUACACUGCAGGGGACAGAAGGGGGGCCCCAUCCCUACCCUACUCCCUGGCCGCCUGCCCCUGUGGUUCCCAAGGAGGGGUAUGUAUGAGAGCCGCUCUCCUGCUACCUCCCACCACUGUCCCAGCAGUCCCUCGGCACACAGGCAUAUCAGCUUUCACACUUUCCCCAUGCACUCUCUCCCACCCCCUUCCAGGGCCUCUGCUCCAAAGGAGGCCUCUGGAACCCAGGACUCUGGGGUUUUACAAGAGGGCUGGGGUGUGGAAGGGCAAGCUGCACCAAAGACGGUGGAUAUAGCCACCGCCCCCCCCGCCGCUGCCUAGCAUCUGCUUGGCCAAUUAGUUCAGCCUCAGACCAUGGCACUUUGAGGGGGUCUCUACCUCCCCAUCAACAGCUGCAGGGGGACCCCAGUGCCAACUUCCUCUCCCACUAGGGCCCUGCCUUCAGCUGGUGCUUGCUGCGAUUCCUGUGCCUUAUGUAACUGCCCUUCCUUCCCUUGCCCUAGGAAAAAGGCUGCAUCUUUAUAUGUUACAUUCAUAUAAACUUUGUAACUUUUUGGA
rnacentral:sRNA from 1 species